GUUUGCUGAUUGUUCUAGACAGAUGUAUGAAACCUCUUAACUGUGGACGACAACUACUUGAGAAGGACCAUCAUCACCCAUCAAGUACGCCAUUGAGGGCGUCCGUGGAAGGCCCAGUCCUGACUCUCCAAUGAAUCCGGCAUUUGAUCGCUAUUGAAGGAGCUACAUGUAGAAGAAGAAAACACUUGUAGAGCUUGUAACUGAUUCCCAUAGUUGUAGUGCUUGUAUCAACUAAGCUUGUAUUACGUGUAACUUGUAGAACUUGUAAAUGCUACAGCUUGUAGGACGUGUCAUUUGUAGAGCUUGUAAAUAAGCUUGUAUAUGCUAUAGCUUGUAGGACGUGUCAUUUGUAGAGCUUGUAUUGAAUCUGGCUAUUGUUAUUUGAAGUAUCAUGUGUGUUUUUUGCU